GCACCCGCGGUAAUUCCAGCACCAAUAGCGUAUAUUAAUGCUGCUGCAGUUAAAAAGCUCGUACUUGGAUCAAGAGUCGGACAGUGCAAGGUGGCCCUGUCUGUCCAGUUUGGUUCCGAUCAAGCUGGCGGCAGCGGGUAAACCCCUUGCGCCAAACUGUCCGCUCUCAACAGACCGAAACGGUUCCCUGUGAGUAGGCCCCUUCAUUGGGGUCGAAAGCGCCUACGCAUCAACCAUAUGCAUACGGGACGUCGGUCAAAGUUACUGUGAACAAACCAGCGUGUCCAAAGCAGGCCUUCGCCUGAAUGUUCGAGCAUGGAAUAACAAGGGAUCGAUUCUCUCGGUUCUUUUUGUUGGUUUUUAACCCGAGAAGGAGUAAUUCAGGCCACGGUGUCUGAGUUGGGUUUCCCGAGGCUUCGGCUGAGGCCCCAAUUAGGCCGUGUCCUUACGGGAUCAAUAGGGACUGACGGGGUCGUACGUACUUCCGCGUCAGAGGUGAAAUUCUUAGAUCGCGGGAAGACGAACUUCUGCGAAAGCAUUCGACAAGAAUGUCUUCAUUAAUCAAGAACGAGAGUGUGGGGAUCGAAGAUGAUCAGAUACCGUCGUAGUCCACUACUGUAAACAAUGCCGUCUCAGGAUUGAGAAGUGAACUGAAUGACUUUCACAGCACUAACCCCUGAAACGAGAAAUCAAAGAUUAUGGGUUCAGGGGGGAGUACAUUCGCAAGGCUGAAACUUAAAGGAAUUGACGGAAUGACACCACAAGGCGUGGAGUAUGCGGCUUAAUUUGACCCAACACGGGGAAUUUUACUAGGUCAGGACAAUGUAAGGAUUGACAGAUUGAGAGCUUUUUCUUGAUUAAUUGUGUGGUGGUGCAUGGCCGCUCCUGGUUGGUGGAGUGAUUUGUCUGGUUGAUUCCGUUAACGAACGAGAUCUCGACCCUUAAAUAGGUGUACUUGUAGAUCGUAGUUUCACUCCUGCUCGCUUGCGAGACUAGGAUGGGACGAGACUGCGGGAAUACUUCUUAAGGGGACUGUAUGCGUCCAUAGCGUGCGGAAGAGCGAGCCAAUAGCAGGUCUGUGAUGCUCCUAAAUGUCCUAGGCUGCACGCGCACUACACUGACGCAUUCAACGAGUCUGAUUGUCUUUUGACAACCUAUCUUGAAGAGGACGGGAAAUCUUUUGAACUUGCAUCGUGAUGAG
rnacentral:rRNA from 1 species